ACUCAAAUGAAUUGACGGGGACCCGCACAAGCAGUGGAUCAUGUGGCUUAAUUCGAGGCUAAGCGAAGAACCUUACCGAGACUUGACAUCCCAGGAAGUCAGUCGAAAGACAGACGUGCCUUCGGGAACCUGGUGACAGGUGCUGCAUGGCCGUCGUCAGCUCGUGUCGUGAGAUGUUGGGUUAAGUCCCGCAACGAGCGCAACCCUUGUCGUCUGUUGUAUUUUCAGACGAGACUGCCCGGGCCAACCGGGAGGAAGGCGGGGAUGACGUCUGGUCAGCAUGGCCCUUACGUCUCGGGCCGCACACGUGAUACAAUGGCCGGUACAAUGCGCUGCCAAGCCGCAAGGUGGAGCUAAUCGCAUCAAAACCGGUCUCAGUUCGGAUUGGGGGCUGAAACUCGCCCCCAUGAAGCUGGAAUUGCUAGUAAUGGCAGGUCAGCCACACUGCCGUGAAUACGUUCUCGGGUCUUGUACACACCGCCCGU
rnacentral:rRNA from 1 species